rnacentral:rRNA from 1 species
UACGGAGGGUGCAAGCGUUAUCCGGAUUCACUGGGUUUAAAGGGUGCGUAGGCGGUCGGGUAAGUCGGAUGUGAAAUCCCAGGGCUCAACCCUGGAACUGCAUUCGAUACUGCCUGGCUAGGGUACUGGAGAGGAGACUGGAAUUUACGGUGUAGCAGUGAAAUGCGUAGAUAUCGUAAGGAAGACCAGUGGCGAAGGCGAGUCUCUGGACAGUUACCGACGCUGAGGAGCGAAAGCGUGGGGAGCGAACAGG